rnacentral:rRNA from 1 species
GAGUUUGAUCAUGGCUCAGGACGAACGCUGGCGGCGUGCCUAAUACACGCAAGUAGAACGCUGAAGAGAGGAGCUUGCUCUUCUUGGAUGAGUUGCGAACGGGUGAGUAACGCGUAGGUAACCUGCCUUGUAGCGGGGGAUAACUAUUGGAAACGAUAGCUAAUACCGCAUAACAAUAGGUGACACAUGUCAUUUAUUUGAAAGGGGCAAUUGCUCCACUACAAGAUGGACCUGCGUUGUAUUAGCUAGUAGGUGAGGUAACGGCUCACCUAGGCGACGAUACAUAGCCGACCUGAGAGGGUGAUCGGCCAUACUGGGACUGAGACACGGCCCAGACUCCUACGGGAGGCAGCAGUAGGGAAUCUUCGGCAAUGGGGGCAACCCUGACCGAGCAACGCCGCGUGAGUGAAGAAGGUUUUCGGAUCGUAAAGCUCUGUUGUAAGUCAAGAACGAGUGUGAGAGUGGAAAGUUCACACUGUGACGGUAGCUUACCAGAAAGGGACGGCUAACUACGUGCCAGCAGCCGCGGUAAUACGUAGGUCCCGAGCGUUGUCCGGAUUUAUUGGGCGUAAAGCGAGCGCAGGCGGUUUGAUAAGUCUGAAGUUAAAGGCUGUGGCUCAACCAUAGUUCGCUUUGGAAACUGUCAAACUUGAGUGCAGAAGGGGAGAGUGGAAUUCCAUGUGUAGCGGUGAAAUGCGUAGAUAUAUGGAGGAACACCGGUGGCGAAAGCGGCUCUCUGGUCUGUAACUGACGCUGAGGCUCGAAAGCGUGGGGAGCGAACAGGAUUAGAUACCCUGGUAGUCCACGCCGUAAACGAUGAGUGCUAGGUGUUGGAUCCUUUCCGGGAUUCAGUGCCGCAGCUAACGCAUUAAGCACUCCGCCUGGGGAGUACGACCGCAAGGUUGAAACUCAAAGGAAUUGACGGGGGCCCGCACAAGCGGUGGAGCAUGUGGUUUAAUUCGAAGCAACGCGAAGAACCUUACCAGGUCUUGACAUCCCGAUGCUAUUUCUAGAGAUAGAAAGUUACUUCGGUACAUCGGUGACAGGUGGUGCAUGGUUGUCGUCAGCUCGUGUCGUGAGAUGUUGGGUUAAGUCCCGCAACGAGCGCAACCCCUAUUGUUAGUUGCCAUCAUUCAGUUGGGCACUCUAGCGAGACUGCCGGUAAUAAACCGGAGGAAGGUGGGGAUGACGUCAAAUCAUCAUGCCCCUUAUGACCUGGGCUACACACGUGCUACAAUGGUUGGUACAACGAGUUGCGAGUCGGUGACGGCAAGCUAAUCUCUUAAAGCCAAUCUCAGUUCGGAUUGUAGGCUGCAACUCGCCUACAUGAAGUCGGAAUCGCUAGUAAUCGCGGAUCAGCACGCCGCGGUGAAUACGUUCCCGGGCCGUGUACACACCGCCCGUC